UACGAAGGGUGCAAGCGUUACUCGGAAUUACUGGGCGUAAAGCGUGCGUAGGUGGUUCGUUAAGUCUGAUGUGAAAGCCCUGGGCUCAACCUGGGAAUGGCAUUGGAAACUGGCGACCUAGAGUGCGGUAGAGGGUAGUGGAAUUCCCGGUGUAGCAGUGAAAUGCGUAGAUAUCAAGAGGAACACCAGUGGCGAAGGCGAGUCCCUGGACAACACCUGACACUGAGGCACGAAAGCUAGGGGAGCAAACAGG
rnacentral:rRNA from 1 species